UGAUAAAUUCAGAAGAUGGCUUCCUG
rnacentral:piRNA from 1 species